rnacentral:lncRNA from 1 species
CAUCUCCUGAGACCCCACCGGAAGCCCUGGACACCGUCCAUUCUCAUGACACGGGACUGAGGGAGCAGGAGGGAGUGACAACAGGAGUGCAUCCACCUCCUCCUCAGGCUUGAGCGAGUGCCACUGGGCGAUGGGCCUCCGGGGGUUGGCCAGCAUGUCGGACCAGUGCCGCAGCUCUGUGCCCGUGGCAUUGCUGCCCACGAAGAUCUUGCCUAUGGCUUCGUUCUUGCCCAGCUUGUCAUAGUCCAGCACGGUGACCACUACCUGGACUUUCUGCAAGGAAAACGAGGGAGGGAGUUGGCAGACAGAGACGUGGGAUCCCAUGACCAAAUUUAUCCUCCAUCAACCUCUACUCCCAAUGAUUGGGAAGGUAAGGCCUCCUGGGGCUCCUUGGUUUCAUCUCUGCUCCAGUGAAGACUGAAUUGACAUGGAGGCAGAGGCCACGCCUUUGGCAGCCUUUGUUUCUACCACUGGGCAUUUAUUGAGGAUGUACUGUGCUCUAGACCCUGUUAAGCACUUGGAGGGGGAGAAGAGGGAAGGAAAAGUGAAAAGAUGAAUUUCACUUCCUCAAUGAGAUCAGCAGACAUGUAACUGAAAACUUACAACAUGAAUUGAUAAAGGUUAUGCUAGAGAGAUGGGCACAAGGUACUGUGGAAACUUAGAGGAGGUGACAGUCCUGGGGCCAAUCAGAAAAGGCUUCACAGAAGAGGUGACUGGGACAUGAAGUCUGAGAAUUUCUCUAGGAGGAGAAAAGAAGGAAGAGGAUUCCAGGAAAACAGAUUUGCUUGGGUAGAGGCAUAGAGACCUGAGAGUGCAUUUGGCAUCUGAGAAACAUUAGAUGUUCAGUCAUUGAGGUAUAGGGUGAGAAGCAGUGAGGCAGGAAAUGAGGCUGGUAGAGUAGGUUGGGGUCAGCCAAGGAGUCUGCAUUUUGUCUUUCAGGCAAGCAGUAGGGGACUCCUGACGACUUUAAGAAAAGGAGUGUCGUGGACAUUUGAGAGAGAGAGCCCUGGCAUUGAGUUGGAAGAUUUACUGGAGGAGGAGUGGGCCUAAUGGCAGGGAAGAGACCCAUUGGAGGAUGCUGGAGGGUCUGGGAGGAUGGAUCCCGAAUACCUGUACCAAGGCAGGGACAGUGGGGAUGGGAAGUCAAAACCAGGUUGGAGAGGUAUUUAGGAAGAGAAUCAAGAGGACUUGAUGAUCAGCUGGAUUUGCUGAAUGCUCGAUGCCUUUUUCCCCUGUGACUCCAGCCAACUCAGAUUUGUCCUUCAGGACCAAGCUCUCUCUGGGAAGCCUCACUACAGUCCUCCGCUUCAUGGACAUUGAAGCUGUCGUCUCACUGUGCUUUACUAGACUGUUUACUGGUGCCCUCCCACUGUGAGGUCCUUGAGAGCAAGGAGUGUGUGGAUUACACACUUAUUUCCUCAUCCCCUAGCCUACCACUUAGGAAAUGCUCAGUAAAGUAUGUUGGAUAAAUGAGAAAGGAAAAAGGAAAUAGUCAGUCUAAGGUGACGCCCAGGUUUCUGACUUGGGCCACUGGGUAAAUGAUGGACUGUGGGGUCAUUCAUUGAAAACAGAAUUCAGAUGAAACAGGCUUGGCUGGGAAGAGGUAGGAAGAAGAACAUUACAUUGGUUUUAGGCAUGUUGAAUUUGAGAUGCCUGGGUCAGGAUGCUCUAGAUCUAAAAUUCUCUGUAAUGAGGACUUCUCUUGGAUUAACAUUAUCACUGAGCUGCCCAGUGUUCCCUUGAAGUAUUCCAUCAAUAACAUCAUACACAUCUCCAUAGAUGACAGAACCAACUCUGAAGAUUCUCUUGUACCCUUGCCCCCAGCCCUCCUGCGGGGAGGAGAGGGGGUGGGAUCAGCUCACUACAAAGAAGGAGAGACCAAGACUCCAUGAUAACCGACCACUCUGCAAGCCCCCAGCUGCGCCUGACUUCCCGCCCAAAUGGGUGGGUGGGUGGGUCUCUUGUCCUACCACGUCCAGAUCCCACUCAUACCUGGAAAUGGUGAAAACCAGACCUCAUCUCCAACAUUUACAGAACUUGCUGGUGAGAAGGAAGGAAAAAUAGAGAAGGCUGGAAGGGUGGAGGGAGAGAGGAGAGGAAGCAGAUCAGAGGAGUAGAUGGGAAAGACCUAGAGAGCAGUGGAAGUGGGGCAGGGAUGGCCAAGACAGGAUGUGGCUGGAGAGGAUGGAGGUGGCAGCGGCCACUCCCACCCUCUCAGCCAGCUCCCAACCCCUCUGGCACCUUUGCUAUACCCCCAUACAUCUGUGUGCAUGACCAUGGUCCUUCAAGUCCUAAACGAAUGAUUUGCAGAAUUUUUUGAAUUAGUUCAUGUUUAUCUCCUCAGAAAAGGGGGAUCCCUGAAGCACUUGGGAAGGAGGCCCCACCCAGGCACCAUUAGACCUCGAGCCUUCCCCUACCAAGAAAGGCUGUUCCAUGGUCUCUAGGUGAGUUCCCUCUCUUCAACCUCCCCAUACAUGUUUGCCUCCCCAAACCCUGCUCCAUGCCUAGGAACCCAGGGCUCCAGCACCUGAAUCUGCUCGAAGGGGAUCUCAAAGCUGAAGGACUCGUUGAAGUAUGGGUUCAGGGUCUUCUUCUUCACGGUUGUCUUCUUCUUCUUGAGCCUCUUGCCAUUCUGCAUCAGGUGGAUCUUCACGUACGGGUCUGCGGAGGGAGAAUCCCAACCCCAGAGAGGUUCCCCUUAGCCCCCAGCCUUCCUGCCGAAUGUACCAAGGCCUGCCCAGAGCAUCGGUCAAGAGGGGGUCUUCACUCCGCUGAGACCAGGCCCUCAGAAAGCCCCAAGUCAUGCCAUCCAGUUCAAAGGUGGCAAAAGGCUUCACCUCCAGGACCAACUGUGACCAGUUGGUUGUGGCUUCCUGAAGCAUUGGGUGGAGGGCAUUUCUGAGUCUAAGUAAGGCCUUGUGAGAAAGAGUCUGGGGAUUCAUCUGUGAUCCUGUACUGGGGAGUGGGUGGGGAGUGCUGAAGUCAGGACACACAUCUGCUGGGUCAUAAUCCCAAUCCGAUCCCCCUAAUCUUGCAGACAAGAAACUGAGGCCAAAGAACGGAAAUGACCUGCCCGAGGUCACACAGCGGGUCAGUGACAGAGCCAGGCUGGCACUGAAACGCGCUGGUUGGAGCCCAUGCCCAGGGCUGAUUCUCUGGGAAGGCAGCUGAGGCAGCAGGCUUCAUCCACUAGAGCCCUGUGCCAUGGGCCAGCCCCAUUCACUGCCAGGUCUCUCCACUCCUCAAUGGGCUGGCCGAGGUCCACUGUGUUCAUAGGCACCUUUACCUCUCCAAUGAUGUCAUGUUUGGAGAAGCGGUCAAAGUCAUAGAUGGCCAUCACCAGAGUUUUGCCCCCAAGCUCCUGGUAUGGCACCUGCAGGGCACAAGCAGAAUCAGAGGGGGCCAGAGCGACUCACGCACCUCCAGGGGUGCUAUGGGCAGGGGCCUGCAUUCCAGCCCACAGGGUCCAGCAGCAUUUCUUGCAGAUGCAGAAGCAGCAGGUGAGAAGCAGGAGCCCAGCAACCACAGCAAUGGCGAUCAGUGCCCAGGGUGGUA